rnacentral:lncRNA from 1 species
AGAGUAAUACAAGAAAAGUGUACAACCAAAAGCGAUGAACAUAUGUCUCAGGGUAACUAGGCCACGGUGCUGUCCAAACAGAUGCAAAGCGAAAAAUAUGAUGAGUUUUAUGUGCAUCUCAGAAUCAAUUGUUUUGUGAAUAGAUUAGAAUUCAUUUUUUUCUUUACUAGUCUACUCUGACGUAAUCCCAUUUCAAUCUCUUAAAGUUUUGGCUUUAUAAUUCAAUUACA